rnacentral:rRNA from 1 species
UUAAGCGACUAAGCGUACACGGUGGAUGCCCUGGCAGUCAGAGGCGAUGAAGGACGUGCUAAUCUGCGAUAAGCGUCGGUGAGGUGAUAUGAACCGUUAUAACCGGCGAUUUCCGAAUGGGGAAACCCAGUGUGUUUCGACACACUAUCAUUAACUGAAUCCAUAGGUUAAUGAGGCGAACCGGGGGAACUGAAACAUCUAAGUACCCCGAGGAAAAGAAAUCAACCGAGAUUCCCCCAGUAGCGGCGAGCGAACGGGGAGGAGCCCAGAGCCUGAAUCAGUGUGUGUGUUAGUGGAAGCGUCUGGAAAGGCGCGCGAUACAGGGUGACAGCCCCGUACACAAAAAUGCACAUGCUGUGAGCUCGAUGAGUAGGGCGGGACACGUGGUAUCCUGUCUGAAUAUGGGGGGACCAUCCUCCAAGGCUAAAUACUCCUGACUGACCGAUAGUGAACCAGUACCGUGAGGGAAAGGCGAAAAGAACCCCGGCGAGGGGAGUGAAAAAGAACCUGAAACCGUGUACGUACAAGCAGUGGGAGCCUCUUUAUGGGGUGACUGCGUACCUUUUGUAUAAUGGGUCAGCGACUUAUAUUCUGUAGCAAGGUUAACCGAAUAGGGGAGCCGAAGGGAAACCGAGUCUUAACUGGGCGUUAAGUUGCAGGGUAUAGACCCGAAACCCGGUGAUCUAGCCAUGGGCAGGUUGAAGGUUGGGUAACACUAACUGGAGGACCGAACCGACUAAUGUUGAAAAAUUAGCGGAUGACUUGUGGCUGGGGGUGAAAGGCCAAUCAAACCGGGAGAUAGCUGGUUCUCCCCGAAAGCUAUUUAGGUAGCGCCUCGUGAAUUCAUCUCCGGGGGUAGAGCACUGUUUCGGCAAGGGGGUCAUCCCGACUUACCAACCCGAUGCAAACUGCGAAUACCGGAGAAUGUUAUCACGGGAGACACACGGCGGGUGCUAACGUCCGUCGUGAAGAGGGAAACAACCCAGACCGCCAGCUAAGGUCCCAAAGUCAUGGUUAAGUGGGAAACGAUGUGGGAAGGCCCAGACAGCCAGGAUGUUGGCUUAGAAGCAGCCAUCAUUUAAAGAAAGCGUAAUAGCUCACUGGUCGAGUCGGCCUGCGCGGAAGAUGUAACGGGGCUAAACCAUGCACCGAAGCUGCGGCAGCGACGCUUAUGCGUUGUUGGGUAGGGGAGCGUUCUGUAAGCCUGUGAAGGUGUGCUGUGAGGCAUGCUGGAGGUAUCAGAAGUGCGAAUGCUGACAUAAGUAACGAUAAAGCGGGUGAAAAGCCCGCUCGCCGGAAGACCAAGGGUUCCUGUCCAACGUUAAUCGGGGCAGGGUGAGUCGACCCCUAAGGCGAGGCCGAAAGGCGUAGUCGAUGGGAAACAGGUUAAUAUUCCUGUACUUGGUGUUACUGCGAAGGGGGGACGGAGAAGGCUAUGUUGGCCGGGCGACGGUUGUCCCGGUUUAAGCGUGUAGGCUGGUUUUCCAGGCAAAUCCGGAAAACCAAGGCUGAGGCGUGAUGACGAGGCACUACGGUGCUGAAGCGACAAAUGCCCUGCUUCCAGGAAAAGCCUCUAAGCAUCAGGUAACAUCAAAUCGUACCCCAAACCGACACAGGUGGUCAGGUAGAGAAUACCAAGGCGCUUGAGAGAACUCGGGUGAAGGAACUAGGCAAAAUGGUGCCGUAACUUCGGGAGAAGGCACGCUGAUAUGUAGGUGAAGCGACUUGCUCGUGGAGCUGAAAUCAGUCGAAGAUACCAGCUGGCUGCAACUGUUUAUUAAAAACACAGCACUGUGCAAACACGAAAGUGGACGUAUACGGUGUGACGCCUGCCCGGUGCCGGAAGGUUAAUUGAUGGGGUUAGCGGCAACGCGAAGCUCUUGAUCGAAGCCCCGGUAAACGGCGGCCGUAACUAUAACGGUCCUAAGGUAGCGAAAUUCCUUGUCGGGU